rnacentral:rRNA from 1 species
GUGGGGAAUUUUGGACAAUGGGCGAAAGCCUGAUCCAACAAUGCCGCGUGCAGGAUGAAGGCCCUCGGGUUGUAAACUGCUUUUGUACGGAACGAAAAGCCUGGGGCUAAUAUCCCCGGGUCAUGACGGUACCGUAAGAAUAAGCACCGGCUAACUACGUGCCAGCAGCCGCGGUAAUACGUAGGGUGCAAGCGUUAAUCGGAAUUACUGGGCGUAAAGCGUGCGCAGGCGGUUUUGUAAGACAGUGGUGAAAUCCCCGGGCUCAACCUGGGAACUGCCAUUGUGACUGCAAGGCUAGAGUGCGGCAGAGGGGGAUGGAAUUCCGCGUGUAGCAGUGAAAUGCGUAGAUAUGCGGAGGAACACCGAUGGCGAAGGCAAUCCCCUGGGCCUGCACUGACGCUCAUGCACGAAAGCGUGGGGAGCAAACAGGAUUAGAAACCCGGGUAGUCC